AGCUACAGACGCACGAUGCUCCACUGAUGAUCGCUCGCCCACUCUUCCGAGCCAACAAAGCCAUCCCCCAACUCCUCCGCCGAGCAUUAUCAACCACCGCCGAAAUGAUCACCCUCGUAGUAGCAACCUCCGUCGACCCCGCCUCCGUCGGCCCCGCCUCCGCCCUCCUCGCCAUGCCGGGUUGGAGCCCGGGCCCCUCCCUCGCCGACGGCAUCGUCAGCUUCGCGAACCGAGGGGUGAGGCUGGUGAAGCACGAGAGGAGUAUCG
rnacentral:misc_RNA from 1 species